GUAAUACAUAUACAUUUAAUGUACAUUUGAUUUAAUCAGUAAACAGACAGAGCAUGGCUGUGGAUUCGAUGCACGUCGUCACAAAUGUGUGAAUAACUAAUGAGACAUGAAGUUAUGACCAGAA